rnacentral:rRNA from 1 species
GACGUAGGGUGCAAGCGUUGUCCGGAUUUAUUGGGCGUAAAGAGCUCGUAGGCGGUUUGUCGCGUCUGCCGUGAAAGUCCGGGGCUCAACUCCGGAUCUGCGGUGGGUACGGGCAGACUAGAGUGAUGUAGGGGAGACUGGAAUUCCUGGUGUAGCGGUGAAAUGCGCAGAUAUCAGGAGGAACACCGGUGGCGAAGGCGGAUCUCUGGGCCUUACCUGACGCUGAGGCGCGAAAGCUAGGGGAGCGAACAGG